rnacentral:tRNA from 1 species
GCCUGGCUGGCUCAGUCGGUAGAGCACGAGACUCUUGAUCUUAGAGUUCUGCGUUCAAGUCCCACGUUGGGUG